GAAGAGGGACAGAAUCACAUAAACUACCACAGAAAAUAUGGUAAAUGACAACAUAUUUUGUUCAGCAAGAAAUAGGGAAUGAGAGACAUUACCAUACAGCAAAGAGGGCCUUCGACAGAAAAAAGAAAAAUAAAAAUGACCAAAACAAUAUUAUGUUGUUAAGAGCUUAUAACAGCAAGUAUGACAUGAUAUACUACUUCACUAAAUAUAUUAUUCUUUAAAAGAAAUUCAUGCAACAGAAGCAUUUGGAAAUAAGGAAUAAUAUCUAUACUCUAUCUUCUUUUUUCUUUUUUCUUCUACAGCUAAUAUAGUUUGAAUAUGAGAUUUUACAUAGUACCAAC
rnacentral:lncRNA from 1 species